rnacentral:rRNA from 1 species
GUCCACGCCCUAAACGAUGUCUACUAGUUGUCGGGUUUUAAUUAACUUGGUAACGCAGCUAACGCGUGAAGUAGACCGCCUGGGGGAGUACGGUCGCAAGAUUAAAACUCAAAGGAAUUGACGGGGACCCGCACAAGCGGUGGAUGAUGUGGAUUAAUUCGAUGCAACGCGAAAAACCUUACCUACCCUUGACAUGUACGGAAGGCCGAAGAGAUUUGGCUGUGCUCGAAAGAGAACCGUAACACAGGUGCUGCAUGGCUGUCGU